rnacentral:rRNA from 1 species
UACGAAGGGGGCUAGCGUUGUUCGGAUUCAUUGGGCGUAAAGGGUGCGUAGGUGGCAUGGUAAGUCGGAUGUGAAAUCCCGGGGCUCAACCCCGGAACUGCAUUCGAUACUGCUGCGCUAGAGUACUUGAGAGGAGAUUGGAAUUUACGGUGUAGCAGUGAAAUGCGUAGAUAUCGUAAGGAAGACCAGUGGCGAAGGCGGAUCUCUGGACAGUUACUGACACUGAGGCACGAAGGCCAGGGGAGCAAACGGG